rnacentral:rRNA from 1 species
UACGGAGGAUGCGAGCGUUAUCCGGAUUUAUUGGGUUUAAAGGGUGCGUAGGCGGCCGAGUAAGUCAGCGGUGAAAUUUUGCAGCUUAACUGUAACAGUGCCGUUGAUACUGCAUGGCUAGGAUUUGGUUGCUGUGGGUGGAAUGUGUGGUGUAGCGGUGAAAUGCUUAGAUAUCACACAGAAUAUCGAUUGCGAAGGCAGCUCACAAAGCCAAGACUGACGCUGAGGCACGAAAGCGUGGGGAGGCAAACA